CUCAAUGACCAUACCAUCUUGAAUGUACCCAAUCUUGUCUAAUCUUGGGAGCUAAGCUGGUCAGGUCUGGUUAGUACUUGGAUGGGAGACCUGGGAAUACCAGGUACUGUAGACU
ensembl:rRNA 5S_rRNA 5S ribosomal RNA